rnacentral:rRNA from 1 species
GGGUUGUGAGGUUAAGCGACUAAGCGUACACGGUGGAUGCCCUGGCAGUCAGAGGCGAUGAAGGGCGUGCUAAUCUGCGAUAAGCGCCGGUAAGGUGAUAUGAACCGUUAUAACCGGCGAUACCCGAAUGGGGAAACCCAGUGUGAUUCGUCACACUAUCAUUAACUGAAUCCAUAGGUUAAUGAGGCGAACCGGGGGAACUGAAACAUCUAAGUACCCCGAGGAAAAGAAAUCAACCGAGAUUCCCCCAGUAGCGGCGAGCGAACGGGGAGGAGCCCAGAGCCUGAAUCAGCAUGUGUGUUAGUGGAAGCGUCUGGAAAGGCGCGCGAUACAGGGUGACAGCCCCGUACACAAAAGCGUAUGUGCUGUGAGCUCGAUGAGUAGGGCGGGACACGUGGUAUCCUGUCUGAAUAUGGGGGGACCAUCCUCCAAGGCUAAAUACUCCUGACUGACCGAUAGUGAACCAGUACCGUGAGGGAAAGGCGAAAAGAACCCCGGCGAGGGGAGUGAAAAAGAACCUGAAACCGUGUACGUACAAGCAGUGGGAGCACCCUUUGGGGUGUGACUGCGUACCUUUUGUAUAAUGGGUCAGCGACUUAUAUUCUGUAGCAAGGUUAACCGAAUAGGGGAGCCGGAGGGAAACCGAGUCUUAAUUGGGCGUUAAGUUGCAGGGUAUAGACCCGAAACCC